GAUGAACGCUGGCGGCGUGCCUAAUACAUGCAAGUCGAGCGAACAGACGAGGAGCUUGCUCCUCUGACGUUAGCGGCGGACGGGUGAGUAACACGUGGAUAACCUACCUAUAAGACUGGGAUAACUUCGGGAAACCGGAGCUAAUACCGGAUAAUAUAUUGAAGCGCAUGGUUCAAUAGUGAAAGACGGUUUUGCUGUCACUUCUAGAUGGAUCCGGGCCGCAUUAGCUAGUUGUUAAGGUAACGGCUUACCAAGGCAACGAUGCGUUGCCGAACUGAUUGAGGGGUAGCCGACCCGAGAGGUGGACCGGGGACAUUAGGCCUGCGGGAGGGCGCAGAAGGGAACCGGCGGCAGUGGGGGAGAACCUGGCGGAGCGGGCCGGCGUGUGUGGUGAAGGCCUUCGGUGCGGAAAGCCCGGUUAUGGGGGAAAAACAAAUGUGGAAUGAACUAUACACGUCUUGACGGUACCGAAUAAAAAAGCACCGGCUAACUACGUG
rnacentral:rRNA from 1 species